AACGAACGCUGGCGGCAGGCCUAACACAUGCAAGUCGAACGCCGUAGCAAUACGGAGUGGCAGACGGGUGAGUAACGCGUGGGAACCUUCCCAAUGGUACGGAAUCGAUCAGGGAAACUGGUGGUAAUACCGUAUACGCCCGAAAGGGGAAAGAUUUAUCGCCAUUGGAUGGGCCCGCGUAGGAUUAGCUAGUUGGUGAGGUAAUGGCUCACCAAGGCGACGAUCCUUAGCUGGUCUGAGAGGACGACCAGCCACACGGGGACUGAGACACGGCGCAGACUCCUACGGGAGGCAGCAGUGGGGAAUAUUGGACAAUGGGCGCAAGCCUGAUCCAGCCAUGCCGCGUGAGUGAUGAAGGCCUUAGGGUUGUAAUGCUCUUUUAGCGGGGAAGAUAAUGGCGGUACCCGCAGAAUAAGCCCCGGCUAACUUCGUGCCAGCAGCCGCCGUAAAAC
rnacentral:rRNA from 1 species